ACAAAGAUGUCUUUAAAACACGAAAUGAAAUGUUAUUUGUAAUGCUAAGAGAAAGAUUUUAAUGUGUUAGGAGUUUAAUUGUUAGGUAAGAACGAUGGAAGACCAGGGCGGGAUGCAGUUAACAGUCUUUAAUGGAUAAAGUAAAUAGUCUUCACUGAGUAAUUAGAACACAAAUCACAGGCAUUAAUCAGAGCCAGAACAGAAACUGCCAGAUGACUGGAACAAAGAAAAUCUGCAUAAACUUCCACGAAGACAGAGGCAGGGACCCCGAGAUGCAUUCAGCCAGUCAGAAAUAGUGAAGACAGCAGACAGGGUGAACAGCCAAGGGCGAGCGCUGAACAGAUAAGACAGGACGAGAGAGCAGACGUUUCUCACGAGAGGUCAUUGAAUAAUCCUACAACAAGACAGGGCUAGGAAGAGGGAAUAAGAAGCAGAGACAAUCAAGAGGAAAAAGGGGACAGGUGAGGAGAAGGGAACGAAAGGGGAACCAGCUGAAAGA
ensembl:lncRNA